AGCCGGCAGGCUGCGCUUGAGAAGGCGAUGCUCGAGGACGACAGGCAGAGCUCUCAGCGCCAGAGGGAGAACAGGCUGGAGGCAACCGCUGUUUCUAUGGCUCUAUCUGGGAGACGGAAAGCAGAAGUUUGGCUCCAAUCCUCCAUGACGGGCUGGCUCCUCUCCAGAUUUGGAGGCUUUUACAGCUGGGAGGGCUCAAGGUCAGCCACGUGGUCCUCUAGCGCCCCAGCCCUCACCUUCGAAUACUGCCCAGCAGAGCAGUGUAAGCUCUACAUCCAAUGUGAGGCUUGAACUCAGAA